rnacentral:rRNA from 1 species
AUGGACGCAAGUCUGAUGGAGCAACGCCGCGUGAGUGAAGAAGGGUUUCGGCUCGUAAAGCUCUGUUGGUAGUGAAGAAAGAUAGAGGUAGUAACUGGCCUUUAUUUGACGGUAAUUACUUAGAAAGUCACGGCUAACUACGUGCCAGCAGCCGCGGUAAUACGUAGGUGGCAAGCGUUGUCCGGAUUUAUUGGGCGUAAAGCGAGUGCAGGCGGUUCAAUAAGUCUGAUGUGAAAGCCUUCGGCUCAACCGGAGAAUUGCAUCAGAAACUGUUGAACUUGAGUGCAGAAGAGGAGAGUGGAACUCCAUGUGUAGCGGUGGAAUGCGUAGAUAUAUGGAAGAACACCAGUGGCGAAGGCGGCUCUCUGGUCUGCAACUGACGCUGAGGCUCGAAAGCAUGGGUAGCGAACAGGAUUAGAUACCCUGGUAGUCCAUGCCGUAAACGAUGAGUGCUAAGUGUUGGGAGGUUUCCGCCUCUCAGUGCUGCAGCUAACGCAUUAAGCACUCCGCCUGGGGAGUACGACCGCAAGGUUGAAACUCAAAGGAAUUGACGGGGGCCCGCACAAGCGGUGGAGCAUGUGGUUUAAUUCGAAGCAACGCGAAGAACCUUACCAGGUCUUGACAUCCAGUGCAAAGCCUAAG